rnacentral:lncRNA from 13 species
AAUUUUUACAAAAGAUAGGUCUGAAUAAAAGCCAACUCAACCUAUGCCAGUCCCCCGGCAUAUGUACAAGGAAUUACACUGCAUGAAAAAGCAAAACCACAGCAAAUAACAUGCUUGAAGCAGGCAGAUGCUUCAGGUCCUGUAGUUUACUGGUUACUGUGGAAAUGGGAAGAUGGUAUAAAGCAUAAGUCUCUCCUCUUAGGAGUCCCUACUCUACUUAGGAAGCAGGAUGAAACACCUUCCAGAUUUUGUUAUUUUCUACUCCUGACUUAAGAGUUUGAGGAACUGGAAGCCAAGUUCCUCCGGUCAUUGUGCACAAUCAUGAAGCUGCAUAUGAACUGGCAAUUAAAACUCGCCAACUCCUCAACACUGUCUCGGAUUCUUCCACCCGAUCUCUUCU